UACGAAGGGUGCAAGCGUUACUCGGAAUUACUGGGCGUAAAGGGUGCGUAGGUGGUUGUUUAAGUCUGCUGUGAAAGCUCCUGGCUUAACCGGGAGUGGUCGGUGGAAACUGCUCGUCUGGAGGACGGUAGAGGUAGGUAGAAUUCCCGGUGUAGUGGUGAAAUGCGUAGAGAUCGGGAGGAAUACCUGUGGCGAAGGCGGCCUACUGGGCCGGACCUGACGCUGAGACGCGAAGGCGUGGGGAGCAAACGGG
rnacentral:rRNA from 1 species